rnacentral:rRNA from 1 species
AAGCGGAGGAAAAGAAACCAACAGGGAUUGCCUCAGUAACGGCGAGUGAAGCGGCAACAGCUCAAAUUUGAAAUCUGGCCGCAAGGUCCGAGUUGUAAUUUGUAGAGGAUGCUUUUGGCGAGGUGACUUCCGAGUUCCCUGGAACGGGACGCCAUAGAGGGUGAGAGCCCCGUACGGUCGUGCCACCGAGCCUCUGUAAAGCUCCUUCGACGAGUCGAGUAGUUUGGGAAUGCUGCUCUAAAUGGGAGGUGUACGUCUUCUAAAGCUAAAUACCGGCCAGAGACCGAUAGCGCACAAGUAGAGUGAUCGAAAGAUGAAAAGCACUUUGAAAAGAGGGUUAAAAAGUACGUGAAAUUGUUGAAAGGGAAGCAUUCAUGACCAGACUUGGGCUUGGUUGAACAUCCGGCGUUCUCGCCGGUGCACUCUGCCAGCUCAGGCCAGCAUCAGUUUGCCCCGGGGGACAAAGGCGGCGGGAAUGUGGCUCCCUACGGGGAGUGUUAUAGCCCGUCGUGUAAUGCCCUGGGGUGGACUGAGGUUCGCGCUUCGGCACGGAUGCUGGCGUAAUGGUCAUCAAUGACCCGUCUUGAAACACGGACC